AAAGUGAUGUGUUGGCUGAAUACUUGCACUUUGUUUGACGGUUAGUUAAGUUUGUUCUAUCGAAUCGGUCUGC
rnacentral:tRNA from 1 species